AUUGAACGCUGGCGGCAGGCCUAACACAUGCAAGUCGAGCGAGCGGCGCACGGGUGUGUAAUGUCUGGGAAACUGCCUGAUGGUGGGGGAAAACUUCUGGAAACGGUAGCUAUUACCGCAUACCAUCAGAUGUGCCCAGCUGGGAUUAGCUUGUAGGUGGGGUAAUGGCUCACCUAGGCGACGAUCCCUAGCUGGGCUGAGAGGAUGAGCCGCCACACUGGAACUGAGACACGGUCCAGACUCCUACGGGAGGCAGCAGUGGGGAAUAUUGCACAAUGGGCGCAAGCCUGAUGCAGCCAUGCCGCGUGUAUGAAGAAGGCCUUCGGGUUGUAAAGUACUUUCAGCGAGGAGGCGUUACUCGCAGAAGAAGCACCGGCUAACUCCGUGCCAGCAGCCGCGGUAAUUC
rnacentral:rRNA from 1 species